rnacentral:tmRNA from 1 species
CGCCAGCGCAGCAAUAGCUGCCUGAUUAACGCGGGCAUGCUCAGCCGGGUUCGCCCGGAACGCGGAUGAGGAUGUCAUUCAAACCGGGCUUAGUUGACGCGGACUACCGACACGUCAAUAAAACUUAAGGUGGUGUUCCGGAAUGAGGAGGUCGGUUGCCAAUACCUCCGGAGAAAACAUCCAAGUUCCGACUAAACUUGUAGCGACCUGAAUGGAAACUCUGCAGGACGCGGGUUCGACUCCCGCCACCUCCACCA